rnacentral:rRNA from 1 species
UCUUGGUCAUUUAGAGGAAGUAAAAGUCGUAACAAGGUUUCCGUAGGUGAACCUGCGGAAGGAUCAUUAAUGUAUAUUGAAUUUUAUAUUCUUUAUCAACCCACACUGUGUACCUUUUUACUGUUGCUUCCAUGGGACUUGGCUCUGCCACGUCGGCCUUAUGGCUGGUGAGCGCCCAUGGGAGGAAAACAAAACUCUUUGUUACAGUUGACGUCUGUCUGAAUUGUUUAUAUUAAACGUUAAAACUUUCAACAACGGAUCUCUUGGUUCUCGCAUCGAUGAAGAACGCAGCCCCCCUGCCCCCGCCCCGCCCGCCGCGCGCGGCGGCG